ACGGCCGGGGGGGGGGGGGGGUUGGCUGGCGCAAAGGGAGAGAAGAAAACGGGCGCCAUGACAGCAGGGAGGGGAAGCGGAGCGGUACCGGGGCAGAAGCGGCCGUGUUAGGUCGGCCGCGGACGGUUUUUAUUCCCCCACUUUCCCCACACCAAUUCCGUCCUUUUCGCGGGUGGGGAAGGAGAACGGAGGGGCGUUUGUGCAGCGGCGGCUUUUCGAGCGGUUAGCUGUAACUGCGUCAAUUCAAGAUGGCGGAGCGCCUCCCUGGAGGGGCGCUGCUGCACGUCGGCCGGAGGUCAUGUGACGAGGAGGUUGCAUUUUUUCGACGGCUCUGGCUGGCGGCGCUCCAGCUCGCUCCGGAAAAGGCGGCGCCGGCGGAGAGCUUGGCUGGGCUCUCCCCUUUCAAGGCGGUGGAGCGACGGAGCCUUUGUCGUCGUCCUCCCCCACUCUUCCUCCCCGGCCCUCUUUAGCGUGCGCGGCUGUGCCGAGCAACCGCCGCCUCCCCCUCUGCUGAGCGCCGUUACGGCAGACGACUUUGAUUUUCUGCAAAAUCUUAACGUUUCUUUCUUUAGAAAAUGGAUGAAAACCAGAGAGUUUCAUCAAAGCAGAAAAACACAGCAUUCAGACACGUUAAUUUUCAACCAGUUGUUCUCUCCACACGCCGGGAGUAUACAUUUACUUAUUCCAAGGUUACGAUAACAAUUGGCUGGAUUGACCGGGGAUGAUGGGACUCCUGAUCCAAUCCUUCUCAAGGCCAUGAAUGCUUCCUCUGCAAUUCUAAGGCAGAAUUGUGACUUUCACGGGGUUAAUGAUUCUCUUGCCAAGCAGGAAGUGGUGACUAUUAGUAACUAAUUCAACAAUAUUUACGUCAGGGCAAAUAAAAAGAUCAUAAAAAACCUGCCAUAAACCCGUUUCCAUUUUUAAAAAAACAUGUUUUGCUUUGUUUUAGAAACAUGGAAACGAACGAUCCAGACAUUAAUGGGGAAUUCUAUUCACAAUCUGCCACCUUGAAGUAGAGGUACUCCUCAACAGUUCAUUU